UUCAUUCGGUGAAAGAUGGAAUGUUCCAUUCAACGAGGCGACAGCCGAGUUGAAUGGAACGUUUCAUCUUUCACCGAAUGAAAAUAUUCUUAC